AAUUUGCUGACGAGUGGCGCACGGGUGCGUAACGCGUAUGCAAUCUACCUUGUACUGGAGUAUAGCCCAGGGAAACUUGGAUUAAUCCUCCAUAGUCUAUUGAUAUGGCAUCGUAUUAAUAGUAAAGGUUACGGUACAAGAUGAGCAUGCGUCCUAUUAGCUAGUAGGUGUGGUAACGGCACACCUAGGCAACGAUAGGUAGGGGUCCUGAGAGGGAGAUCCCCCACACUGGUACUGAGACACGGACCAGACUCCUACGGGAGGCAGCAGUGAGGAAUAUUGGACAAUGGGCGGGAGCCUGAUCCAGCCAUGCCGCGUGCAGGAAGACUGCCCUAUGGGUUGUAAACUGCUUUUAUACGGGAAGAAUAAGUGUUACGUGUAGCACGAUGACGGUACCGUAAGAAUAAGCACCGGCUAACUCCGUGCCAGCAGCCGCGGUAAUACGGAGGGUGCAAGCGUUAUCCGGAAUCAUUGGGUUUAAAGGGUCCGUAGGUGGACUAAUAAGUCAGUGGUGAAAGUCUGCAGCUUAACUGUAGAAUUGCCAUUGAUACUGUUGGUCUUGAAUUGUUGUGAAGUAACUAGAAUAUGUAGUGUAGCGGUGAAAUGCAUAGAUAUUACAUAGAAUACCGAUUGCGAAGGCAGGUUACUAACAAUAUAUU
rnacentral:rRNA from 1 species